GAUGAACGCUGGCGGCGUGCCUAAUACAUGCAAGUCGAGCGAACGGACGAGAAGCUUGCUUCUCUGAUGUUAGCGGCGGACGGGUGAGUAACACGUGGAUAACCUACCUAUAAGACUGGGAUAACUUCGGGAAACCGGAGCUAAUACCGGAUAAUAUUUUGAACCGCAUGGUUCAAAAGUGAAAGACGGUCUUGCUGUCACUUAUAGAUGCAUCCGCGCUGCAUUAGCUAGUUGGUAAGGUAACGGCUUACUAAGGCAACGAUGCAUAGCCGACCUGAGAGGGUGAUCGGCCACACUGGAACUGAGAGACGGUCCAGACUCCUACGGGAGGCAGCAGUAGGGAAUCUUCCGCAAUGGGCGAAAGCCUGACGGAGCAACGCAGCGUGAGUGAUGAAGGUCUUCGGAUCGUAAAACUCUGUUAUUCGGGAAGAAAAUAUGUGUAAGUAACUGUGCACAUCUUGACGGUACUUAAUCAGAAAGCCACGGCUAACUACGUG
rnacentral:rRNA from 1 species